rnacentral:tRNA from 1 species
UAUUUUAAUAGCUUAUAAAUAAAGUAUAAUAUUGAAGAUAUUAAGAAAGCAUUAUGCUUUAAAAUAUU